rnacentral:rRNA from 1 species
AUUGAACGCUGGCGGCAUGCUUUACACAUGCAAGUCGAACGGCAGCGGAGAGUGCUUGCACUCUGCCGGCGAGUGGCGAACGGGUGAGUAAUAUAUUGGAACGUACCGAGUAAUGGGGGAUAACUAUCCGAAAGGAUAGCUAAUACCGCAUACGCUUUGAGAAGGAAAGUGGGGGAUCUUCGGACCUCACGUUAUUCGAGCGGCCAAUAUCUGAUUAGCUAGUUGGUGGGGUAAAGGCCUACCAAGGCGACGAUCAGUAGCGGGUCUGAGAGGAUGAUCCGCCACACUGGGACUGAGACACGGCCCAGACUCCUACGGGAGGCAGCAGUGGGGAAUUUUGGACAAUGGGCGCAAGCCUGAUCCAGCCAUGCCGCGUGUCUGAAGAAAGGGCUUCGGGUUGUAAAGGACUUUUGUUAGGGAAGAAAAGAAAUGGGUUAAUACCCCAUUUUGCUGACGUACCA